ensembl:miRNA MIR221 microRNA 221
GGAAGUCUACCCAGGUUUGGGGCAUGAACCUGGCAUACAAUGUAGAAUUCUGUGUUUGUUAAGUAACAGCUACAUUGUCUGCUGGGUUUCAAGCUGCCUGGAAAUACAAA